rnacentral:rRNA from 1 species
AUUGAACGCUGGCGGCAGGCCUAACACAUGCAAGUCGAACGAGUGGCGGACGGGUGAGUAAUGUCUGGGAAACUGCCUGAUGUAGGGGGAUAACUACUGGAAACGGUAGCUAAUACCGCAUACCAUCAUAUGUGCCCAGAUGGGAUUAGCUUGUGGGUGGGGUAACGGCUCACCAAGGGGACGAUCCCUAGCUGGUCUGAGAGGAUGACCAGCCACACUGGAACUGAGACACGGCCCAGACUCCUACGGGAGGCAGCAGUGGGGAAUAUUGCACAAUGGGCGAAAGCCUGAUGCAGCCAUGCCGCGUGUAUGAAGAAGGCCUUCGGGUUGUAAAGUACUUUCAGCGGGGAGGCGUUACCCGAAGAAGAAGCAACGGCUAACUCCGUGCCAGCAGCCGCGGUAAUAC